GUCAGGGUGGCCGAGCGGUCUAAGGCGCUGCGUUCAGGUCGCAGUCCACUCUGUGGGCGUGGGUUCGAAUCCCACCCCUGACA
rfam:Opisthorchis viverrini opera_v5_192.58, whole genome shotgun sequence.